CCUACGGGAGGCAGCAGUGAGGAAUAUUGGUCAAUGGGCGGGAGCCUGAACCAGCCAAGCCGCGUGAGGGAAGAAGGUACAACGUAUCGUAAACCUCUUUUGUCGGGGAACAAAGGCGGGGACUCGUCCCCGGCGGAGGUUAACUGAAGAAAAAUCAGCGGCUAACUCCGUGCCAGCAGCCGGGGUAAUACGGCGGAUGCGAGCGUUAUCCGGAUUUAUGGGGUUUAAAGGGUGCGCAGGCGGCCUGUUUAGUCAGCGGUAAAAGCGCGGGGCUCAACCCCGGCGAGCCGGUGAAACUGGCGGGCUGGAGUUGGAGAGAAGUACGCGGAAUGCGCGGUGUAGCGGUGAAAUGCUUAGAUAUCGCGCAGAACCCCGAUUGCGAAGGCAGCGUACCGGCUCCACACUGACGCUGAGGCACGAAAGCGUGGGUAUCGAACAGGAUUAGAUACCCUAGUAGUC
rnacentral:rRNA from 1 species